rnacentral:rRNA from 1 species
UAGGGAAUCUUCGGCAAUGGGGGGAACCCUGACCGAGCAACGCCGCGUGAGUGAAGAAGGUUUUCGGAUCGUAAAGCUCUGUUGUUAAGGAAGAACGAGUGUGAGAAUGGAAAGUUCAUGCUGUGACGGUACUUAACCAGAAAGGGACGGCUAACUACGUGCCAGCAGCCGCGGUAAUACGUAGGUCCCGAGCGUUGUCCGGAUUUAUUGGGCGUAAAGCGAGCGCAGGCGGUUAGAAAAGUCUGAAGUGAAAGGCAGUGGCUCAACCAUUGUAGGCUUUGGAAACUGUUUAACGUGAGUGCAGAAGGGGAGGGUGGAAUUCCAUGUGUAGCGGUGAAAUGCGUAGAUAUAUGGAGGAACACCGGUGGCGAAAGCGGCUCUCUGGACUGUAACAGACGCUGAGGCUCGAAAGCGUGGGGAGCGAACAGG